rnacentral:rRNA from 1 species
AUGGUGGAGCUGCAAUGCAAUACAACCCGCGGAUGUCGAGGCGGCGGAAGCUGCAACGCAGCAUCCAUGGUGCUGCUCUCGCCGGUGACGAAGCUUCAACGCAGCAUCCAUGGCGUUGCUCGCUGGCGACGAAGCUUCGACGCAGCAUCGAUGAAGCUUCAACUCUGCAUCGAUGGUGCUUCAACGCAGCAUCCAUGGUGCUGCUCACCGGCGAGUAAGCUUCAACGCAGCAUCCAUGGCAUUGCCUGCCGGCGACGAAGCUUCAACGUAGCAUCUACGGUGCUUCAAUGCAUCAUCAAUGGUGCUGCUCGCCGGCGAUGA